GUGCCAGAGAAAAGGAACUUAGAGGUAGACUCAUGUGGUAAGAAUCCGACUGUUUCAAGGCUCAUCUGUGUCUUCAUAGAAUGCAUACCAAUCAUGACAAAACAAGAGCAGAAAAGUGGACUUUCAGUAAUGUGUUCAUCAGCCACAGUACGCCAUAGCUUUUUUUGUUAUUGAAUUGGAUAGCAAAGUAUGGGAGCUGUUACGUGAUGACCCUAAAAGUAUGCUAAAAUAAUACAUCAUACAUUAACAUUUCCUGACAAAGCACUUGUUAAAUAUUCCCAACUCCCAAGAAAGCCAUGGUCAGAAACAUUACAAAAUUUAAAAUAUUUUAUCAGAGCAGAAUUUCUUCAUCAAAAUUAAAAAGUCAGAAUGUGCCUGACUAGUAAAUUAAUCUUCUGUGUACCUCAAUUGUUAGUUGAGUAAAGAAUAUUGUUUGCUGAUAGUGAGGUAAUAAAUUGUUGUUGGUAGAAGCUGCUGAAGAAAUGUGAACGAAGAAAUACACGUUUAAAAACUUUGGCCAUUCUCUGAGAGGAUCAUAUAAAAUAAUUUAAUUGACAUUCAUAGUGAUUUAAAAAAAAAAAAACGAAUGAUUUUUGUGGCUUCCCUUGUCUCUUGAAAGGACUAAUAUUGUUAGGUUUCAGAGAGUCAACAGUAAGUCUCUGAGAAUUCACCUCCACGAAGUACUUUGGGGAAAACUAUGAACCCACCAUGUAUUAUUGAAUGAAUAGUAGGUUCCAUCAGCCUCGGUUCCUGAGUAACCAUAACACAGGACUAACUUGAGAUGGACACAUAGCCUGAGUAAGAAAUCAGACUUGAAGGUUUCUGAAGUACUACAGAAUAACCCAAGUCUUCACAGUUGCCUCAUUGUGCUUGGCAACCACAGGCAGAGCCUGACCCAUUCAAUAACUUUCUCUGUCUUCACUACCUACCUUCAUGGCUCCUGUCAAUCAAAGUCAUUAUGCAGUUUUCAUAGAACAUGUCUGGCAUCAUUCGUUGCAUAUACAAUGUCUAAACAUUUGGUGGCACAAGAAGAGAGGACACUAAGAAAAGCUGUGCCAGGGGCCCCAAGUGCUUGUGAAUGGGAAGAAUCCUUGGGCAUUUUAAUGAUUCUGCCAUUUGGGAGGAGAUGAUAUGCAAUAAUGAGAACUACCUUCAGUGUUAAGUACACAAUUUGGAAAUGUAUUGUUGCAGGUAUGCAUAUUUGUAUAUGAAAAAUAUUAACUGAGAAAUUCAUGAGCUUCUUAGCAAAAAAUAUAAUUAUUUCAGAGUUAUGAAACAGUUUAAUAUCUGCCUUCCUGAAUAUAGUCAAAAGAAAAUAUUAAAAAGUUUUAAACUGCAUAUAUAUUCAUUUCUUACAUAUGUCAGAACACUCAGCAGAAUGUUUAAUAAAAUAUUUUAAAACAUAAUUAUAAAUUAUGACUUUUAUUUCUAUAGUUAGUGGAACCCACAGAGUCCUGUGUCUGAUUAAAUGGAGGAUAUAUUAGGAGAAUUUUUUAGGAGAAUGACAUAUGUCACAUAUCACCAUAUUUGCAAGAACAUAUAACUUGAUAGAGUAAGUUGGCUGCUUUAUAUGAUGAAUCAAAGGUGCCAGCUCUUAGUAUAAAAAAAAGUGUAAAAUGCUGACUUCAGGAAUACUAUAAGAAACUCUGCUCUUUCUUAAACAUUUCAUAAUUAGUUAUAAACUAUGAUGGAGGGAAGGGUGGAAUGAAGUAUCUAUGCAUUAUUUUGCUUUCUUCAUGAAUUGGUAAUAAGCUACAUCUAGAGUCUUAAUAAAAUUUUCCCAUCUUUUCUCUCAAAAAUUAUAACAAAUGUAACGAUUGAACUGCUGUUUAGGAAUCUACUCCUGGAAAAUCAUUUGAAUGGUGAGAUAUGAAUGCAGAAAACAUUACUUAAGGAUAAAUAUCAUUAAUCUAAUACUUUCUCUCUUCAGAGCAUAAGAGUGGAAUAGGAUACUUAAGGAAACAAAUGAUAUUAUCAUUUGGUAUACUAGAUGAAGUACCUUAUGCACUCAUGCAUUAAUUAACUCUUGUAUUCCCUAAGCAAUUAUGGUUAUUACUAUUAUUAUUAUUUGUGGUUUUAAGGAGUGGAAAAUUUAAUAGGCAAUAAAAAAGGGAGAAGACAGAAGGAAGAAGCUCCCCCAUACAAAAACAGAGCAGAGACAGGGGAGGCCCCAAGCUGGAAGAGGAGGUCACUAAGCAAUUAUCAAGCAUGUGUGGCAGGGAUGUUGAUAGAAAUCAUAUAUUUAAAAGGUUUUAUUCAGAGCUUUUGUUCUAGUAGGGAAGCCUGGCAUAACAUAUAAUUUUAAUAUUAAAAGCCUAUAGAGUUUUACAGGCGGGGUGGUUGAAUACCCCAAGAUUGUUCCUUGGAUUCACAAUCUUUGCAGGAAAAUAUACUCAUGGAGACUUUUACAGAUAAAACUGUUUUAGAAAGUUUUAAAAACUUUGUAGUUGUUUUGAAUAGAGUUAAUGUUGUACCCAGCUUUACAAUAGGAAUUUCACAGAGAACUAUGUAGGGUAAGAAUCCAGGCUAUGAUUCAUUUAUAUGUUGGUGUGUCUGCUCACUGAUAGGCUGGGUCCUGGAAAGAAGCAGGAAUGUAACAAUUUGUAGGCUUGUGCUGAGAAUAUUUAAGGCAUUAAAUCCUGAACUCAGAUUCAGGACUCCUUGAGGGUAGGAGAUUUUCUUCUUUUUCCUCUGUCUGCUCUUCUUUCUUCUCCUAUCUUGUUUUUAUGAGUUGAUUUUGCCCAGCAUAGUACCUGGCACAAAGUAGAUACUCAACAAAACUUUGUUAAAUAAUCCCAUGAAUGCUAGCAACUACCGAUGCAUAGGAAAAAUUCUGUACCUUACAUUUCUGACUGUAGGCUCUUUCUUUCAUUUUUGCAUCUCUAGUGGUUUAAUGUCGUUUAUAGAAUACAGUAAAGAUGACUCCAGUUUAAUGAGCAGGUUGUUACAUUUACUUUGUUGACAUUGCCCCAUUUUAAAAUGUGCCGCAAUCUGUUCUUGUCAAGAAUCCAAAUUUGUUGCAUUUGGUUAAGAACUUACCAAAAGAAGAAACAAGAAAACAGAAAACCCAUACUCAAACCUCUUGCACUGAGUUACUCUUGAUUCUUGAAAGAAACCAGGUG
ensembl:lncRNA